AAUAGAUACCCAGGUAGUCCCAGCCGUAAACGAUGAGCACUGGGCGGGGGGCCCUCCGACGGGCUCCCAGCCGCAGGGAAACCGUGAAGUGCUCCGCCUGGGGAGUAUGGCCGCAAGGCUGAAACUCAAAGGAAUUGACGGGGGCCCGCACAAGCGGUGGAGCAUGUGGUUCAAUUCGACGCAACGCGAAGAACCUUACCUGGGCUCGAAGUGCAGAUGAUCAUCGGCGAAAGUCGACUUCCGCAAGGACAUCUGCAGAGGUGCUGCAUGGCUGUCGUCAGCUCGUGUCGUGAGAUGUUGGGUUAAGUCCCGCAACGAGCGCAACCCUUGUUCUCUGUUGCCAUCAGGUCAAGCUGGGCACUCUGAGGAGACUGCCGGUGACAAACCGGAGGAAGGUGGGGAUGACGUCAAGUCAGCAUGGCCUUUAUGUCCAGGGCUACACACGUGCUACAAUGGCCGGUACAAACCGUUGCGAGCCCGCGAGGGGGAGCUAAUCGGAGAAAGCCGGUCUCAGUUC
rnacentral:rRNA from 1 species